rnacentral:rRNA from 1 species
CGCAUCUGUGCAUGCAGCAUAUCAAUAAGCGGAGGAAAAGAAACUAACAAGGAUUCCCCUAGUAACGGCGAGUGAAGCGGGAAGAGCUCAAAUUUGAAAUCUUAAAGGGUUUCCCUUUACGAAUUGUAGUUUAAAGAAGUGUUUUCUGUUGAGGUUUUGGUAAAAGUUCUUUGGAAUAGGACAUCAUAGAGGGUGAGAAUCCCGUAUUUGACCUUUACUUUCAACUUUGUGAUACACUUUCAAAGAGUCGGAUUGUUUGGGAAUGCAGUCCAAAAUGGGUGGUAAAUUUCAUCUAAAGCUAAAUAUUGGCGAGAGACCGAUAGCGAACAAGUACCGUGAGGGAAAGAUGAAGAGAACUUUGAAAAGAGAGUUAAACAGUACGUGAAAUUGUCAAAAGGGAAGCGUUUGACACCAGUGUUGUUUUUCUGAAAAUCAAUUAAAGAACUGUUUAUGCUAAGCUGUUUAGACUUUAUCAGCUAUCUGUUUAGUUUUUGAGCUUUUCUUUAAUGCACUUUUCAGUUAACAAGUCAACAUCAAUUUCUUUUGCUGUAAAAAAGCUUGAGGAAGGUGGCUUGAGAUUCGUCUUAAGUGUUUAUAGCCUCUUGCCUAUGCAGUCGGAGAGAUUGAGGUCUGCAGCGUAGAUCCUUCGGGGCUAAAUGCAUUUGUGCUAAGUUAUAGCAUUUUAUAGACAACUUGUUGACUAUGAUUUGUCUUGUAGCUUACUCGCUUAUGUUAUUUUACCUACGCUUAGGAUGUUGAGUCGUAGAGCACGCAG